rnacentral:rRNA from 1 species
CUACGGGUUGCAGCAGUGGGGAAUCUUGUGCAAUGGGCGAAAGCCUGACACAGCAACGCCGCGUGCGGGAAGAAGGCCUUCGGGUCGUAAACCGCUUUCAGCAGGAACGAAAAUGACGGUACCUGCAGAAGAAGGUGCGGCCAACUACGUGCCAGCAGCCGCGGUGACACGUAGGCACCAAGCGUUGUCCGGAUUUAUUGGGCGUAAAGAGCUCGUAGGCGGUUCAGCAAGUCGGGUGUGAAAACUCUGGGCUUAACCCAGAGCCUGCACCCGAAACUGCGGUGACUAGAGUUCGGUAGGGGAGCGGGGAAUUCCUGGUGUAGCGGUGAAAUGCGCAGAUAUCAGGAGGAACACCGGUGGCGAAGGCGCCGCUCUGGGCCGAAACUGACGCUGAGGAGCGAAAGCGUGGGUAGCAAACAGGAUUAGAUACCCUUGUAGUC